CAGCAGCUCUUUCUCUCCUGCUCAAGGGUUUAGUUGAAUUUCCUGCUGAUAUUUGCAUCCUUCUGGUUUGAGAUGCACACUGUGAUGGAUGUGGUCUAAAUAUCAAUACCAAAAACUUAAAGAGAUCAUAUACAUUUCUUGUUUGAUGAAGCCUAACAACCAUUUAUACCAAACAUUUGCAAAAAUAAAUCUAUUUAAAUGAAAUGAAUGAACACAUAAAAUGAGGAGUUUCUUCUUGGGUGCAUUUUUUUCCCGUUGACUGUUUGGAAAUAUAAACAAGGUAUAGCUAACACUCUCAGUGACAUCACUUCCUCCAUUCCUUGCAUUUAACUCAUAGUGGAGUCAGUCAGCAGAGAGAGACAACAUGAGUAACGCUCCAUAUGUCUGUGUUUCUGUCAUUGUUCUGUGCCUUGCAGUCAGCAUUCUUGGUAAAAGAGUUGUCCAGACUCCUUCUGAUCUCCUGAAGAGAGAAGACGAAUUCGCAGAGAUCAAAUGUUCUCACAGUAUACAAAACUACUAUGUCACACAAUGGUACAAACAAAGCCAGAACAUCAUGCAACUCCAACUCAUGGGAAACAUUAACGUUAAACAAAAGACCAUAGAGCAGGAAUUUAAUGGCAGGAUCAAACUGGACGGAGAUGGAAGAAACAACGUCACUCUGACUAUCGACAAACUAAUGCUGAAUGACAGCGCGAUGUAUUUCUGUGCAGCGUAUUACACAGUGCUCAGAAGCAGAUCUGUUUAAUACAAAAACCUUCUGGUGUUUAUCAGUUUAUCAGUAACUGCAAAUACACUCUCAUUUUACACCUGAUCUGUGGUUCAGUAAAUAUAAUGCACAUAGCAAU